UACGUAGGUGGCGAGCGUUGUCCGGAAUUACUGGGUGUAAAGGGCGUGUAGGCGGGGAAGCAAGUCAGAUGUGAAAUCCCGGGGCUCAACUCCAGAGUUGCAUCUGAAACUGUUUUUCUUGAGUACUGGAGAGGAAAGCGGAAUUCCUAGUGUAGCGGUGAAAUGCGUAGAUAUUAGGAGGAACACCAGUGGCGAAGGCGGCUUUCUGGACAGUAACUGACGCUGAGGCGCGAAAGCGUGGGGAGCAAACAGGAUUAGAUACCCCGGUAGUCCCU
rnacentral:rRNA from 1 species